AUCAUUUACAAACUCAAGGUAUCAAAAAUGUAAGUAAUAAUGAUAAAAAUAGUAAAGCCGAAAUAAGUGUGACAUGAAUGUAAAUGUGAGCUGACAUAGAGGACAGCUACAUGUAGUCUGAAAAACCUUUGUUGUCAAGUUUGCUAGUCUAUCACGAGACAUUCUUACAUAGAAGAGACUGUUAAAGUCUCUAACUCAGUGAAGCAUUAUUGGUCCCGUCUGUUUGGAUAAAUAUAGUAAGCUGCUGUAUUUAUAGACACAUUUUCUUAAGUGCUUAUCCAGUUCAGGAUCACAGUGGAGCUGCAGCUGGAUAUGUUAACAAAAGUUAACAAUAAACCUGCACCUCUGUACGUUGUUGUCCACAGGAUGAGAAAAUCAAACUGGAAGACUGUGGAACAUGUUAAUAAAUGUUUGUGUGUUUAUGCCUGUGUCUUUCACAGGAGGUGCUGAAAGGUUUCCCUAAUAGUUCCUGGUGAAUCAAAGCAGAACCAUAAAGGUUGCUGGACUGCAUGAUGGCCUUACCCCUGAGCAGUCAUCCUGUUAAAGGAGGAACCAGUUAGAAGCUGUUUUCUAAGUAGCUGAGCAGAUUUCAUCUCAAACAAAGCCGAUGGCAGAAGAUGUUUGGAGAAGAACUUCAGGCCGUGGACUGACAAGUAGAUCAAAGCAGCUCGU